rnacentral:misc_RNA from 1 species
GUAUAUUUAUUUGCGCUGUUACACGCUAUAACAUUAAACAUUCUGUAACUUUUAAUAGGGUUGUAUAAAAAUUCAUAGCGAGGGCUUUCAAUACCGUUUCCAGUAUUGUAAUCAUCCCAAGCUACAGGUUGUGCACAGGUGUGAGAUGUAGAUGCACGAUAAAGGUGUGCACAUGCCUCAAGAGGCCAGCUACAACCCUUUUCGACAUUUAUUUCAUUAAUGAUCCUUCCGCAGGUUCACCUACGGAAA